UACAGAGGGGGCAAGCGUUGUUCGGAAUUACUGGGCGUAAAGGGCGCGUAGGCGGCCGCCUAAGUCAGACGUGAAAUCCCUCGGCUCAACCGGGGAACUGCGUCUGAUACUGGGUGGCUUGAAUCCGGGAGAGGGAUGCGGAAUUCCAGGUGUAGCGGUGAAAUGCGUAGAGAUCCCCAAGAACACCGGUGGCGAAGGCGGCGAGCUGGCCUGUUACUGACGCUGAGGCGCGACAGCGUGGGGAGCAAACAGG
rnacentral:rRNA from 1 species